rnacentral:tRNA from 1 species
GCCAGUGUAGCUCAGUUGGUAGAGCAAGCGUUUCGUAAUCGCUAGGUCGUCAGUUCAAUCCUGACCACUGGCU